CAGUCGCCACGGUAAUACGGAGGGAGCUAGCGUUGUUCGGAAUUACUGGGCGUAAAGCGCGCGUAGGCGGUUACUCAAGUCAGAGGUAAAAGCCCGGGGCUCAACCCCGGAACUGCCUUUGAAACUAGGUGACUAGAAUCUUGGAGAGGUCAGUGGAAUUCCGAGUGUAGAGGUGAAAUUCGUAGAUAUUCGGAAGAACACCAGUGGCGAAGGCGACUGACUGGACAAGUAUUGACGCUGAGGUGCGAAAGCGUGGGGAGCAAACAGGAUUAGAUACCCGAGUAGUCCCUGUCUCUUAUAC
rnacentral:rRNA from 1 species